rnacentral:rRNA from 1 species
UGGGUAAUCUUGCGCAAUGGGGGGAACCCUGACGCAGCGACGCCGCGUGCGGGACGGAGGCCUUCGGGUCGUAAACCGCUUUCAGCAGGGAAGAGUCAAGACUGUACCUGCAGAAGAAGCCCCGGCUAACUACUUGCCAGCAGCCGCGGUAAUACGUAGGGGGCGAGCGUUAUCCGGAUUCAUUGGGCGUAAAGCGCGCGUAGGCGGCCCGGCAGGCCGGGGGUCGAAGCGGGGGGCUCAACCCCCCGAAGCCCCCGGAACCUCCGCGGCUUGGGGCCGGUAGGGGAGGGUGGAACACCCGGUGGAGCGGUGGAAUGCGCAGAUAGCGGGUGGAACACCGGUGGCGAAGGCGGCACUCUGGGCAGAGACCGACGCUGAGGCGCGAAAGCUGGGGGAGCGAACAGG